rnacentral:rRNA from 1 species
GAUGAACGCUGGCGGCGUGCUUAACACAUGCAAGUCGAGCGAGAAAAGUUCUUCGGAGCUUUUCUAGCGGCGGACGGGUGAGUAACACGUGGGCAACCUGCCUCAUAGAGGGGAAUAGCCUUCCGAAAGGAAGAUUAAUACCGCAUAACAUUGUUGAAAGGCAUCUUUUAACAAUCAAAGGAGCAAUCCGCUAUGAGAUGGGCCCGCGGCGCAUUAGCUAGUUGGUGAGGUAACGGCUCACCAAGGCGACGAUGCGUAGCCGACCUGAGAGGGUGAUCGGCCACAUUGGAACUGAGACACGGUCCAGACUCCUACGGGAGGCAGCAGUGGGGAAUAUUGCACAAUGGGGGAAACCCUGAUGCAGCAACGCCGCGUGAGUGAUGAAGGUCUUCGGAUUGUAAAGCUCUGUCUUUGGGGAAGAUAAUGACGGUACCCAAGGAGGAAGCCACGGCUAACUACGUGCCAGCAGCCGCGGUAAAAC